GACGAACGCUGGCGGCGUGCUUAACACAUGCAAGUCGAGGGCACUAUUGGGGCAACCUGGUAGUGACCGGCGAACGGGUGCGUAACACGUGAGCGACCUUGCCUCGUGGUGGGGGAUAGCCGGCCCAACGGCCGGGUAAUACCGCAUAUGGUAGUUUCUUCGCAUGGGGAGACUAGCAAAGCCUUGGAGCAAUCCAAUGGCGCCAC
rnacentral:rRNA from 1 species